AUUGAACGCUGGCGGCAUGCCUUACACAUGCAAGUCGAACGGUAACGGGCCUUCGGGUGCCGUCGAGUGGCGAACGGGUGAGUAAUACAUCGGAACGUGCCCGAUCGUGGGGGAUAACGAGGCGAAAGCUUUGCUAAUACCGCAUACGAUCUACGGAUGAAAGCAGGGGACCGCAAGGCCUUGCGCGGACGGAGCGGCCGAUGGCAGAUUAGGUAGUUGGUGGGAUAAAAGCUUACCAAGCCGACGAUCUGUAGCUGGUCUGAGAGGAUGAUCAGCCACACUGGGACUGAGACACGGCCCAGACUCCUACGGGAGGCAGCAGUGGGGAAUUUUGGACAAUGGGCGCAAGCCUGAUCCAGCCAUGCCGCGUGCAGGAUGAAGGCCUUCGGGUUGUAAACUGCUUUUGUACGGAACGAAAAGCCUUCUUUUAAUACAGGAGGGUCAUGACGGUACCGUAAGAAUAAGCACCGGCUAACUACGUG
rnacentral:rRNA from 1 species